rnacentral:rRNA from 1 species
AAACCAACAGGGAUUGCCUCAGUAGCGGCGAGUGAAGCGGCAAGAGCUCAGAUUUGAAAUCUCACCUAGUGUGCGAGUUGUAAAUUGCAGGUUGGAGUCUCGGGUUAGACGUGUGUGCAAGUCCCUUGGAACAGGGUGCCACUGAGGGUGAGAGCCCCGUAGCGUGCAUGUCGACACCUGUGAGGCCCUUCUGACGAGUCGAGUUGUUUGGGAAUGCAGCUCUAAGUGGGUGGUAAAUUCCAUCUAAGGCUAAAUAUUGGCGAGAGACCGAUAGCGAACAAGUACUGUGAAGGAAAGAUGAAAAGCACUUUGAAAAGAGAGUGAAACAGCACGUGAAAUUGUUGAAAGGGAAGGGUAUUGGGCUCGACAUGGGAUUUACGCAUCGUUGCCUCUCGUGGGCGGCGCUCUGGGUUUUUCCUGGGCCAGCAUCGGUUUUCGUUGCAGGACAAGGACAAUUGGAAUGUGGCUCCUCGGAGUGUUAUAGCCUUUUGUAGAUGCUGCGUAUGGGGACCGAGGGCUGCGGCGGACUCGUUUCGUCUCGGAUGCUGGCACAACGGCGCAAUACCGC